UACGUAGGGUGCAAGCGUUGUCCGGAAUUAUUGGGCGUAAAGAGCUCGUAGGCGGUUUGUCGCGUCUGCCGUGAAAAUCCGGGGCUCAACCCCGGACUUGCAGUGGGUACGGGCAGACUGGAGUGUGGUAGGGGAGACUGGAAUUCCUGGUGUAGCGGUGGAAUGCGCAGAUAUCAGGAGGAACACCGAUGGCGAAGGCAGGUCUCUGGGCCACUACUGACGCUGAGAAGCGAAAGCAUGGGGAGCGAACAGG
rnacentral:rRNA from 1 species